UACGGGGGGGGCGAAGCGUUGUUCGGAAUUACUGGGCGUAAAGGGCUCGUAGGCGGCCAACUAAGUCAGACGUGAAAUCCCUCGGCUUAACCGGGGAACUGCAUCUGAUACUGGAUGGCUUGAGUUCGGGAGAGGGAUGCGGAAUUCCAGGUGUAGCGGUGAAAUGCGUAGAUAUCUGGAGGAACACCGGUGGCGAAGGCGGCAUCCUGGGUCAAGAUUGACGCUCAUGCACGAAAGCGUGGGGAGCAAACAGG
rnacentral:rRNA from 1 species